CCUGGUAGCUCAAUUGGUAAAGAAUCUGCCUGCAGUGCAGAAGAUCCUGGUUCGAUUCCUGGGUCAGGA
rnacentral:tRNA from 1 species